UCCUGUGAAUACGUCUGUCGUAAAGGCACCUGGCCCAUCUGAUCUUAGAAGUUAAGUAUGGGCAGCACUGGUUAGUGUCUGAAUGAGAGACCACCAAGGAAUAUAUGACAUUGUAGACU
rnacentral:rRNA from 11 species